rnacentral:rRNA from 1 species
UACGGAGGUGGCAAGCGUUGCUCGGAAUCACUGGGCGUAAAGGGUGCGUAGGCGGGUCUUUAAGUCAGGGGUGAAAUCCUGGAGCUCAACUCCAGAACUGCCUUUGAUACUGAAGAUCUUGAGUUCGGGAGAGGUGGGUGGAACUGCGAGUGUAGAGGUGAAAUUCGUAGAUAUUCGCAAGAACACCAGUGGCGAAGGCGGCUCACUGGCCCGAUACUGACGCUGAGGCACGAAAGCGUGGGGAGCAAACAGG